rnacentral:pre_miRNA from 8 species
GUGCAGAUAGCAGCGCCAUUUACAGAGCUAUAAGCAUCAUAGUUGUCAUAGCUCUUUGAAUGGUACUGCCAUAUGCAC